rnacentral:misc_RNA from 1 species
UCAGAGUUUUGUGAUGGUGCACCCGAGUUCAAAUCCAAUGCGGUCCAACAUCAUCCUACUCGAGCUCCUCCGAACAUAAUUUUUAAAGGUCGGAAGUCGUAUAUUAGAACUCCCACUAAAUUGGCUUCUUCAGUUGCCUACCCAUUUGCCUUUAUCAAGCCGUGUGGAUUCCAUGGAGAUGUGACCUUGAAGGACAUAAACCAGCGGAUCCGCACGCCUCCACCAUCAAAAUUGAAGCAUCAACCCGAAGAUCCAUCUCAAUCUUACCCAACUUCAGCGUUCUCUGGAAAGCCUGUAGUAGGUAAAACCAAGA